rnacentral:rRNA from 1 species
UACAGAGGUGGCAAGCGUUGUUCGGAAUUACUGGGCGUAAAGGGCGCGUAGGCGGUUCGUUAAGUCCUGUGUGAAAUCCCCCCGGCUCAACUGGGGAACUGCACAGGAAACUAGCGGGCUUGAGUUCGGGAGAGGGAAGCGGAAUUCCGGGUGUAGCGGUGAAAUGCGGUAGAUAUUCGGAAGAACACCAGUGGCGAAGGCGACUUACUGGACACAUAUUGACGCUGAGGUGCGAAAGCGUGGGAGCAAACAGG